CCUACGGGAGGCAGCAGUGGGGAAUCUUGCGCAAUGGGCGAAAGCCUGACGCAGCCAUGCCGCGUGAAUGAUGAAGGUCUUAGGAUUGUAAAAUUCUUUCACCGGGGACGAUAAUGACGGUACCCGGAGAAGAAGCCCCGGCUAACUUCGUGCCAGCAGCCGCGGUAAUACGAAGGGGGCUAGCGUUGCUCGGAAUUACUGGGCGUAAAGGGAGCGUAGGCGGAUAGUUUAGUCAGAGGUGAAAGCCCAGGGCUCAACCUUGGAAUUGCCUUUGAUACUGGCUAUCUUGAGUAUGGGAGAGGUUAGCGGAACUCCGAGUGUAGAGGUGAAAUUCGUAGAUAUUCGGAAGAACACCAGUGGCGAAGGCGGCUAACUGGCCCAUUACUGACGCUGAGGCUCGAAAGCGUGGGGAGCAAACAGGAUUAGAUACCCUGGUAGUCCACGCCGUAAACGAUGAGUGCUAGUUGUCGGCAUGCAUGCAUGUCGGUGACGCAGCUAACGACAUUAAGACACUCCGCCGUCGGGGAGGUACGGUCGCGAGAAUUAAACUACAAGAAGUAGACGGCGNGAGACGUGCCGAACGACGACGACGAGGGAGGUAGG
rnacentral:rRNA from 1 species